rnacentral:rRNA from 1 species
UACGUAGGGUGCGAGCGUUAAUCGGAAUUACUGGGCGUAAAGCGUGCGCAGGCGGUUCGUUGUGUCGGCGGUGAAAGCCCCGGGCUUAACCUGGGAAUGGCCGUUGAAACUGGCGAACUGGAGUGUGGCAGAGGGGGGUGGAAUUCCGCGUGUAGCAGUGGAAUGCGUAGAGAUCCGGAAGAACACCGGUGGCGAAGGCGGCCUGCUGGGCAGUAGCUGACGCUGAGGCGCGACAGCGUGGGGAGCAAACAGG